GCCUGGCUGGCUCAGUUAGUGGAGCAUGCGACUCUUGAUCUCAGGGUUGUGAGUUCGAGUCCCAUGCUGGAUA
rnacentral:tRNA from 1 species